rnacentral:rRNA from 1 species
AGUAAUACAUCGGAACAUGUCCAGUAGUGGGGGAUAGCCCGGCGGAAGCCGGAUUAAUACCGCAUACGAUCCAGGGAUGAAAGCGGGGGACCGAAAGGCCUCGCGCUAUUGGGGUGGCCGAUGGCGGAUUAGCUGGUUGGUGGGGUAAAGGCCUACCAAGGCGACGAUCCGUAGCUGGUCUGAGAGGACGACCAGCCACACUGGGACUGAGACACGGCCCAGACUCCUACGGGAGGCAGCAGUGGGGAAUUUUGGACAAUGGGCGCAAGCCUGAUCCAGCAAUGCCGCGUGUGUGAAGAAGGCCUUCGGGUUGUAAAGCACUUUUGUCCGGAAAGAAAACCUCUGUCCUAAUACGGCGGAGGGAUGACGGUACCGGAAGAAUAAGCACCGGCUAACUACGUGCCAGCAGCCGCGGUAAUACGUAGGGUGCAAGCGUUAAUCGGAAUUACUGCGCGUAAAGCGUGCGCAGGCGGUGAUGUAAGACCGAUGUGAAAUCCCCGGGCUUAACCUGNGAACUGCAUUGGUGACUGC